rnacentral:rRNA from 1 species
UUUACUUUUAAGUGAAAAGGCUUAAAUAAGUUAGGGGGACGAUAAGACCCUAUAAAACUUUACAGAUAUGAUUAUAUUUAUUAAAAUGGAGUUUAAUAGUAUUUAUUAUUUUAUCUGUUGUGUUGGGGCGACAAAGAUAUAAUAGGGUAACUGUUAGUUUUAUUUAAUAGUGAUAAUUAGUUUAGUUGAUCCUUUAUUAGAGAUUAUAAGAAUAAGUUACUUUAGGGAUAACAGCGUAAUUUUCUUUAAGAGUUCGUAUCGACGAGAAUAGUUGCGACCUCGAUGUUGAAUUAAGAUUUCCUUUAGGCGGAGGAGUUUAAACGGUAGGUCUGUUCGACCUUUAAAAUCUUACGUGAUCUGAUUCAGACC